AGCUUGAAGGCAAGAAGCCAGAAGACAGAGAGCCCGCUGAGAGAAUGCUCAGUACUAGAAACGUGUGUCCGAUGAUCACAACCAGAUGUAAACUGAAUUGACACUUGGGUAAGUUUUUCCCACCAACUAGUGGAUGGGGGCAGGGGUGGAAGGGAAAAUCACUCAUAGUCGAAUAAAGAAAUCAAAUCUCUGCAUCCCGUUUGUAUUGUCAGUUGACAACUUGUAGCCUCUUAGAUCUCAGUGAUGCAAAAUGGAGCUGAAAACCUGUGAUGUGUUUCUGCCCACACUCCUGGAGCCUUAUGUUUUUUUCAGGCUAGGCUGCUAUCCACGUCCAUUCGAGUCACAGUGAAAGCACCCAUGCCGUUGGCCACUCCUCUGACCUUGCUGGUUGCUAUAAUAAUGGGACCCCUGGCUUCUGAUGGUUAAUGGCUGCCCUUCCCAGCUUCCCUGGGCCCUCAUGGCCAGCCUUGGAGUGAGGCACAGAAAUGUGGCUUUAGCUGUGAAUCCUUAGUCAGGGAACAUAUGUCCCCAACACCAAAGAGGACCUGCUUGCCUGUCUUCAAUGAACAGAAAAUCCCUCGCUGGAGCCUCAGGCCUGGCAGGAGCAAGCUGUCCUCACACCCCUAUCUGCAGUUCAAAACCAUCAUCUCCAACUCCUACCCCAGAAAGGACCCCUGGGAACAUCCAUGUCAUACUGUAGAAGAUAGGAUAGCCAGAAACAACAGCAUUUUGUCCACCUCUUGUUAAAGUGUGCCUUCAAAUGUUGUUCUUUCUCCCUACACUGGGCAUGAAUGAAUCACAUUCCCAGGAAACACAACCAGUUGAGUAAAUCAGCACUCUAGAAUUUUGUCUUAAGAAAUGAAGCUAGUUUGGUUGACUCAUUGGUUUGAGGUAGUUUUAACCAAGUUCUUGAAGCCCUGAAACAGUUAUGCUCUGUUACUGCUUCAAGAUGGGUUACAUUGGUGCCCCAGUGCUUGCCCAGAAAAAGAGCCCUGUUGAUUUAGAGUCCUACUCCGUGGGGUUACUCAAGUACCUGAAUACAGAAGAAAGACAAAGCAGUCUGGGAAUCCAGGUUUAGGAAUAGCAUGGCUAAUGUCACCCUUAAAACCACUUUCUUUUCAAAGGAAUGACAUUAGGGAGCUACCAAAAAGAGGCUCUCUUUGAAGCACCUCUUAUCAAUGUACCAGAAAAAAUAAAGAGAUCUAGACUUUAAGUCCAGAGAUAACUGAAAGAAAGAACAAUAUGAUGCUUUUAUGGUCACACAAUUUCCCUGUGUUCCAGCCCUGAUGGAAUGAUCAGGCAUUACUGGGGAAUAUGAGUCAAGCUGGCAAGAGCACAGGAAACUGGGUGAGGCCUGUCCGUGCUAUGUGAAUAAGUAAUACUCCCAGAUGCAGGAGGGAUUUUCAUUUAUCUUCCAAAUUUGGAAUGAACUCUUAUACCUAAAAAUGAUGAGCAAACCUCUUGGACCUAAAAAUAUAACCACAGUAUGACCUGAAGUAGAUGACUUAAAAGCCCAGUAACUUCCUCCAUCUUCUGUCACAGGGAAAGAAAUCUGACUCCAAACCGGGGUGAAGGGGCCUCCAGCCCCAGAACACAGAUGUCCUUCCAGUCCAGGUCAAGCUGUGGUCACAAAACUGCAUAGAAGAAAGGAAGAAAGCCAGUUGUUACUGUGAAGGAAAAACUUAUACACAUCUUUGACUCAAACAAGAGGAAAGCCUGAAGAACUCCAUUUGACAUUUCUUAUAAGACCUGUCUAGCAGUGAUGAACUUCUUCAACUUUUGUUUAUAGGGAAAACACCAAACCUUUCUUCAUUUCUGAAGGACAAGUUUGUCAGGUGAUGACCUCACUUCCAAGCAUCCUUUUACUCUUAAACAAUCUGGUCACGAAACUGAAGGCAAGCCCCCGUAUCAUCACCAUCUCUAAGCAGCCAUGACACUUUGGUUCCUCACCUCCAGAUCCACGUCUUCAACAUUCUACCACCCAGGAUCUUCCUCCUUUUAGGUUUUGCAUGAGGCACCCCAAUAAAUUAUGCUCUAACAAACCUCUAA